rnacentral:rRNA from 1 species
GAUGAACGCUGGCGGCGUGCCUAAUACAUGCAAGUCGAGCGAACAGACGAGGAGCUUGCUCCUCUGACGUUAGCGGCGGACGGGUGAGUAACACGUGGAUAACCUACCUAUAAGACUGGGAUAACUUCGGGAAACCGGAGCUAAUACCGGAUAAUAUAUUGAACCGCAUGGUUCAAUAGUGAAAGACGGUUUUGCUGUCACUUAUAGAUGGAUCCGCGCCGCAUUAGCUAGUUGGUAAGGUAACGGCUUACCAAGGCAACGAUGCGUAGCCGACCUGAGAGGGUGAUCGGCCACACUGGAACUGAGACACGGUCCAGACUCCUACGGGAGGCAGCAGUAGGGAAUCUUCCGCAAUGGGCGAAAGCUUGACGGAGCGACGCCGCGUGAGUGAUGAAGGUCUUCGGAUCGUAAAACUCUGUUAUUAGGGAAGAACAAAUGUGUAAGUAACUAUGCACGUCUUGACGGUACCUAAUCAGAAAGCCACGGCUAACUACGU